AUUGAACGCUGGCGGCAGGCUUAACACAUGCAAGUCGAGCGAGCGGCGGACGGGUGAGUAAUGUCUGGGGAACUGCCCGAUGGAGGGGGAUAACUACUGGAAACGGUAGCUAAUACCGCAUACUAUCAGAUGAACCCAUAUGUGAUUAGCUAGUAGGUGGGGUAAUGGCGCACCUAGGCGACGACCCCUAGCUGGUCUGAGAGGAUGACCGGCCACACUGGAACUGGGACACGGCCCAGACUCCUAGGGAAGGCAGCAGUGGGAAAUAUUGCACAAGGGGCGAAAGCCUGAUGCGGCCAUGCCGCGGGUGUGAAGAAGGCCUUCGGGUUGAAAAGUACUUUCAGCGGGGAGGCGUUACCCGCAGAAGAAGCACCGGCUAACUCCGUGCCAGCAGCCGCGGUAAUUC
rnacentral:rRNA from 1 species